rnacentral:rRNA from 1 species
GAUGAACGCUGGCGGCGUGCCUAAUACAUGCAAGUCGAGCGAACGGACGAGAAGCUUGCUUCUCUGAUGUUAGCGGCGGACGGGUGAGUAACACGUGGAUAACCUACCUAUAAGACUGGGAUAACUUCGGGAAACCGUAGCUAAUACCGGAUAAUAUUUUGAACCGCAUGGUUCAAAAGUGAAAGACGGUCUUGCUGUCACUUAUGGAUGGAUCCGCGCUGCAUUAGCUAGUUGGUAAGGUAACGGCUUACCAAGGCAACGAUGCAUAGCCGACCUGAGAGGGUGAUCGGCCACACUGGAACUGAGACACGGUCCAGACUCCUACGGGAGGCGGCAGUAGGGAAUCUUCCGCAAUGGGCGAAAGCCUGACGGAGCAACGCCGCGUGAGUGAUGAAGGUCUUCGGAUCGUAAAACUCUGUUAUUAGGGAAGAACAUAUGUGUAAGUAACUGUGCACAUCUUGACGGUACCUAAUCAGAAAGCCACGGCCAACUACGUG